GUCGAGCGGUAACAGGGGCAGCUUGCUACCCGCUGACGAGCGGCGGACGGGUGAGUAAUGCAUAGGAAUCUGCCCGAUAGUGGGGGAUAACCUGGGGAAACCCAGGCUAAUACCGCAUACGUCCUACGGGAGAAAGGGGGCUUCGGCUCCCACUAUUGGAUGAGCCUAUGUCGGAUUAUCUAGUUGGUGAGGUAAUGGCUCACCAAGGCAACUGAUCCGUAGCUGGUCUGAGAGGAUGAUCAGCCACAUCGGGACUGAGACACUGGCCCGAACUCCUACGGGAGGCAGCAGUGGGGAAUAUUGGACAAUGGGGGCAACCCUGAUCCAGCCAUGCCGCGUGUGUGAAGAAGGCCCUCGGGUUGUAAAGCACUUUCAGCGAGGAAGAACGCCUAUCGGUUAAUACCCGGUAGGAAAGACAUCACUCGCAGAAGAAGCACCGGCUAACUCCGUGCCAGCAGCCGCGGUAAUACGGAGGGUGCAAGCGUUAAUCGGAAUUACCGGGCGUAAAGCGCGCGUAGGUGGCUUGAUAAGCCGGUUGUGAAAGCCCCGGGCUCAACCUGGGAACUGCAUCCGGACUGUCA
rnacentral:rRNA from 1 species